AUUGAACGCUGGCGGCAGGCCCAACACAUGCAAGUCGAGCGGAUGAGAAGAGCUUGCUCUUCGAUUCAGCGGCGGACGGGUGAGUAAUGCCUAGGAAUCUGCCUGGUAGUGGGGGACAACGUUUCGAAAGGAGCGCUAAUACCGCAUACGUCCUACGGGAGAAAGCAGGGGACCUUCGGGCCUUGCGCUAUCAGAUGAGCCUAGGUCGGAUUAGCUAGUUGGUGAGGUAAUGGCUCACCAAGGCGACGAUCCGUAACUGGUCUGAGAGGAUGAUCAGUCACACUGGAACUGAGAAACGGUCCAGACUCCUACUGGAGGCAGCAGUGGGGAAUAUUGGACAAUGGGCGAAAGCCUGAUCCAGCCAUGCCGCGUGUGUGAAGAAGGUCUUCGGAUUGUAAAGCACUUUAAGUUGGGAGGAAGGGCAGUAAGUUAAUACCUUGCUGUUUUGACGUUACCGACAGAAUAAGCACCGGCUAACUCUGUGCCAGCCGCCGCGGUAAAAC
rnacentral:rRNA from 1 species